rnacentral:misc_RNA from 1 species
CACAAGAUGUUAGCGGUGUCCCGGUGAUACAUCCUUUAAAAAUAAAAAGCCAGUCGCAAAUGACUGGCUUUUUA